CAAUUUAAAUUAAAGAGAGAUUUUUUUUUACAUUGAGAACAUAUUUGUGAGAAUCAAAUUAAAUUGA
rnacentral:tRNA from 1 species